rnacentral:lncRNA from 1 species
UACAGGGAGUGCAGAAUUAUUAGGCAAAUUAGUAUUUUGACCACAUCAUCCUCUUUAUGUAUGUUGUCUUACUCCAAGCUGUAUAGGCUCGAAAGCCUACUACCAAUUAAGCAUAUUAGGUGAUGUGCACCUCUGUAAUGAGAAGGGGUGUGGUCUAAUGACAUCAACACCCUAUAUCAGGUGUGCAUAAUUAUUAGGCAACUUCCUUUCCUUUGGCAAAAUGGGUCAAAAGAAGGACUUGACAG